AGCCCAGAGCCUGACGCGGGGCUCGAACUCACGGACCGUGAGAUAGAUCGUGACCUGGCUGAAGUCGGACGCUUAACCGACUGCGCCACCCAGGCGCCCCUAGAUACUACAUUUUUAAAAGGACAGUGAUAAACUAGUGAAGGCUACCAGGCUACUGAGGUUCUGCUUAAUCCAUGAAUGAAUGGAUGAUUAUGGGAAUGUUAGAAGAAAAUACUCAAUUCACUGGGCUGUUGAAGCCACAGUGACUUGUCAGAUGCUGAUCAUCAUAAGAAGGAGGCUAGAAAUAAAGCCAAAAAAUUCUGUAGAUUCAUCUGUGUGAUUCUCACAAAUGUAUUUCAGGAAAGGCAAUCAUAGAUGUGUUUCUGAUACCUCAUCAUUCAUCACCUGAAAAAAAUGGGUAGAUUUAUUCUCUGUUGCCCUGGAGGCUGAAUUAUUUGGAAGGUACAAGGAAGCAGAUUGCAGUUUAAGAUGGGAAAGAACUCUAUUCACCACUGAAAUUGCUGCCUUGCAAAGAAAUGGACUUCUGUUCCCUGGAAUUGUUCUAACAGUUGUUUUAAAAUGUAGGGUUUUUUACUGAGGUAUGGUGGGCCAACAGAUCAGGGGAUGACUGCCCUUGAAAAAGCUAAUUUGUUACAGUUCCCAAGAGGAAAGGACACACCAUGCCACACAGGCACACACAGGUAAGCGUCAGGUUAGGUCAGGAGGCAGAAGGAACAAGGGGAAAGCAAGGUGUGAGCCUUUAUUGUGGUUUCCGUGUUCAAGACAGGGUAAACACACUUAGGAUUUGCUACUUUGAAUAGGUUCAGCAGGCUCUGGGGUAUAGAGGCUGUCUCAAAUUGUCUGGUACCUUGCCCUGUGGUGAUUAGGACAGGGGAGUAUUGACAGGGCAGUGUAUGAGCCAGAUAGAGGAGGUGGGGCUCUGGAUUGGUUGGUUUGUAAAUGAAAGGCAGGAUCCUGGCUGUCUCUAGGAAUUAGCUAGCUGGGGGUGGGGCUGUGCCUCCCCUGUCAGUAAGGCCCCCAGAUGCCAAAGCAUCAAGAAUACAGGAAAUAAGAGCAUGUAAUGAAUACACAGGCUGGUUUACAUAAAUCAUAAAUAUGGUUCCUGCUUGGUUAGAGGCUGAAGUAGCUGUUUUCUAAAACUGUGAUUUGAAUUCAUUCAGACUGUUGCCAAGUCUCCAAAUAAGUUAAACUGAAAACAAAGAAAUGGGAGAUGUAAGAGUUCCAGGGAUCUAUACUGGGACUUGUCAUAUUAACUUUGUGUUAAUUCUGGAAAGGGGAGAUGAUGUUAAAGUUCAUUUAGGAACAUAGUGCCAGCUUGACAGGGUAAGCCAGAGUUCUCACACAGUUUUGUGAGUAGACAACAGUGACUUACAAGUGAUGAACAAAAAAAACUGUGAGGUUUAGGGAUAAAUAGACAAAACUAUGUGUACCAUGGUCUCCUAUGUAUUAUUUAAGCUCAGAAAGAGAUCUCUAUAGCUACCAUUCCAGGGUGUGGUCACAAAAGUAUCUCUAAAAUGCAACCAUUAGGAAGGGGGUUGAAAAUUAAGCAGAGGAUUUUACCAACCAUUAUAAGAAACAAAACACAAAAUUUGUCUCUCUUUAACCUAUGUAUGGUUUACUUAUCGCAUUUCAGGUGAAAGGGUGGGUUGAAGAAAACCCAAAGAAAAAUAGCACAAGUGACCAAGAGAAGGCCAGCCACUAGACGUGUAGGCCUGUCAGUCUGGAAGUCAAGGCUGAGAAUGAAUAUUAUCCAAAUCCAUAAAAUCAGGGUGAGUAUGGAUGGUUAGGGUAGGUUAAACUUGGAUUUCCUGACCAAAUUCCUGAGUGCUAAUAAUUAAGGCAGCAACCCUUAAAACUUGAGAAAGAAAUACUUAGAGGCAAAAAGGUUUAUGCUGUGUAAGAAACAGGGAUUUUUCUACCCAGAGGUGGUAUAGGGAGAGAUAGUUUCAAAACUGAGUUUUAGGUGUUUUUAAGUUUAUUUAUUUAUUUUGAAAGAGAGAGAGAGAGAGAGAGCACAAACAGGGGAGAGGCAGAGAGAGGGAGAGAGAGAGAAUCCCAAGCAGCACAGAGCUGGAUGCAGGGGUUUUAACUCAUGAAUCAUGAGAUCGUGACCUGAGCAGAAAUCAAGAGUCAGAGGCUUAACCGAUUGAGCCACCCAGGCGCCCCUUGAAAUGGAGUUGUUAAGCAACAAGAAAUACUGGAAGCUAUUUGUGUUAAUUCUCACUUCACACAUGGGCAAAGUGGCCCAAGAGAGAUUAGGUGUCUUGGCCUAGGUGACACAGUUAGCAAAAUCCAGGUAAUCCAACUUUCAUUAAUAAACAUAAGCACUCUGUCAGGCAUUGUACAAAGUUCACUCUACCCUGCCAUGUGAUAAGAUAAAUCCAUUAGCAAUCUCUAGAGGUUUCUAAAGAGUUUUUGAUAGAAGCUAGAAAUUUAGUAAAAUAUCAUUUUUAACACUGACAGCAUGAAAGACAGGUUAGCAGCCUUAUAAAACAUAUCUUCAUACUUACUGUCUGAGACAAAGACAGGAUAGACCAUUAGGUAGUAUUCAUAUUUGAUCACCCUUAUUUAAUGCUUGGUACUUGUAAAGCUGCCAGAAAUGAAGAAAUAAAUAUCUACCUUUUUGAUAUCUAUGUGACAGCUCUCUAUCAGCACAAAUAAACAGCAGUUAAUGAUUCACCCACUGUCAUCCCUGGGUUAUGUGCAGACAUGGAGGUGUGGCCUCAAAGACUGAUAAGGCAUUUUAUUUUUCUCCUGUGUUAUAUCCUUGUAAUUAGAUGGGACUAUGUACACUGAAGCUUGGAAAAUCCAUAGUACUUUAAUGAAGUUUGCUAUGAUAUAUGUUCUUUAGUUGUCAUUUCGGAAUUUUUUCCUAGACCCUGUUCCUCCCAUUAGAAGUAUCUUUAGAAAAGCCUCAUUUUUUGCUGGAUUUUACAGAUUCAGAUUUUAUGAAGAUUCAACCCCAAAGCUCCUUUUUGAUUUUCACUUUUGAAGAACACUUUAAAGCAAAUAUAAUAAUAUAAAUUAAAUUAUAGGGAAAAGGUUUAAACUCAUCACAAAAACAGUUUUCCAACAUCUUGGAAGUAUAUAUCUUCAUAUAAGCAAUUGUCAUGCUAUCAUAAAACUGUUCCUACCUGUUGGAUAGGGAUCUUGAAAAACAAGAUAGUAUAACUUAAGUAUUCCACAGCUCUUCUCAGAAAUGAUGGUGGAAACUGAGUAAGCUCUUGAAAUCUCAUUAUACAGUAAGUUUUCUUUUUGAUUAUUUUUGUAGGACUGACCUUAUUCAUUUGACAAGUAUUUUUCAGCAUCUACGGUGUGCCAAGCACAGGGCCAGGAGAUGUGAAGACGAGUAAGACCGUCUUCACCUUCAAAGACAUGCAUGACUAUGCUCAUGGCUCUGCAGCAGUUUUACUCGACCAGGAAUAAUAACAGAAGGAAAUUGACAUAGAUGAUCACUCCAUCCCUUUGGAGACCAUACUUCUCACCAAAAAACCUGGGGCUGAUACAUGCAAAGGGACAGUCCUUCCCAGUGCCAAAAGAGAGCAUUAGAGCCCAAGUCACCACUUCUCCAUGCUCCUGCUCUUGAGGCUGGAUCCAUGGAGUUACAGUUCUUGGGGAGUAAGACCACAGAGACUGAGCUGAAGAGAAAGGAGAGACGUCGAGAGAGGAGAGAACAGGGGCCUUGAUGAACAGGAGGAUGUGACCAGGCAGAAGAAGGGAUGGCCACCAUGGAAGAAAAAAAGCCAGCAGGGAAAUAAAAGGUAUGCCUCAAGCAAGGCAAAGUGGGUUAUUCCAGUAAAAAGGUUCGUAGGACAUGUAUGCAGAAAUGUAACAACUAUGCCCACGUAUGUCCUGGCCUGGAUCUGUGGGAUGUCUGGGGAGAAGCCGUGUGUGUGUGUGUGUGUGUGUGUGUGUGUGUGUGUGUGUGUGAGAGAGAGAGAGAGAGAGAGACAGAGACAGAGAGAGAGACACAGAGAGACAGAGAGGGAGAGAGAGAAAUCUCCUAACUUUAAAAUGUUGGCUCUUACCUGUAGAAGUAGCCAAUGGAGGACAAAAGGCAUCUGCCAACAGCUGGGUUGCAAGCAUCUGUUGGGAAAUUUUCAGUUUUUUCCUUAAAAAAAUGAUUUUUCUAGUUCACAUUCAUUAGGAUGGCUAUCACCAAAAAAUUGGAAAAUAGUCCGUGUUGGCCAGGAUGUGGAGAAAUAGGAACCCCUGUGCACCGUUUGUGGGAACGUAAAAUGGUACAGCCACUUGGAAAACAGUUCGGCAGUUCCUCCAAAAGUUAAAUUGCAUGGAAAUACAAUACGAUCCAGAAAUUUUACUUCUAGGUAUAUCCUCAAAAGAGUUAAAAGCAGGAAGUCGUAUACUUACAUAUUCACUGUUCAUAGCAGCAUUACUCACAAGAGCCAAAAGGUAGAAAUAAUCUAAGUGCCCAUCACCAGAUGAAUGGCUAAACAAAAUGUACCUACCGUGGAAUAUCAGUCAGCCUUCAAAUGUAAUGAAAUUCUGACACAUGAAUGAACCUUGAAGGCAUUGUGGUAAGUGAAAUAAACCAGACUCAAAAGGAUAAAUAGUGUAUGAUUCUGCUUCUCUGAGGUGCCCAGAAUAGGCAAAUUCAUAGGGACAGAGAGCAGGAAACAGAACACUGGGGACAAGGAGGAAGCAAUGAGGAAUCGUCGUUUAACGGGUACAGAAUGUUGGUUUGGAAAGAUGAAAUAGUCCUGCAAGUGGAUAGUGUGAUGUUUGUACAUAGUGUGAAGAUAUUAAUGCCACUGAACUAUGUACUUAAAAUGGUAAAUUUUAUGUUAUUUACAUUAUUUAUUUUAAUUAUUUAAGUUUAUCUUUUUUGAGAGAGAGA